GGACUGGAGGGGCCACUCAAAGGCCACCUAUCAAUAUGCCACAUGCAGGGCAGACACUCGCACACAUGUGCGCCUCCCCCAGGGGCUGAGGCCAAGCCAAGCAUCCCGCAUCGGCGCAUGAAUAGCAGCACUGUCUCCCACCCCAGAAGAGCUGUAGGCACAGGCUGCCCGGCUGAAGAGCCCACGCAAACUCCAGGCACUCGGAGGGUGGAAAGUGGCCCGAAGCAGCAAGAUGGAGUCAGACCGUGAAAUCGUCCACCUUCAACACCGGCGCUCCCUCGCCCGAGGGAACCAGCCCAUCAACCUGAAUCACUACGCCACCAAGAAGAGCGUGGCACAGAGCAUGCUGGACGUGGCUCUCUUUAUGUCCAAUGCCGCGCGGCUGAAGUCGGUGCUGGAGCAGGGGCCGUCCUCGCAGUACUACACCACCCUCAUCGCCCUCAUCAGCAUCUCUCUGCUCCUGCAAGUGGUCGUUGGCGUCCUUCUCGUGGUCAUCGCCAGGCUGAACCUGAACAAGCCGGAAAAGCAGUGGCGCCUAAACCAGCUCAACAACGCUGCCACCAUCUUGGUCUUCAUCACCGUCGUCGUCAACGUUUUCAUCACUGCUUUCGGGGCACACAAGGCGGGCUCCGUGGCUGCCAGGACCUCCAGCAAUCCUAUCUAGUGGCUCCCUGGGUCCCAGGUGGCUGGAAGCCGCACUUCCGGCCCGCUCCAGGGCUGCUGAGUCACUCCGUUCCUCACUUACUUCAGCUGCUGGACUGGCCUCCAGGAGAGCUCCAAGGGCAAUGAAGAUGCCUGCUUCCUGCCCGACCGCUCUUUUACUGGGUGAUGUCAGCGCCCCUUGGUCUGGAGGCCUGAGCUCAUGCUCUGCAGCAGCCACCCUUUCCGCCAGCAGCAGGAACCGGGGCUGCUAAGGCAGACUCUGGUUCCCCUCUAUUCCUUCCCUCUGCCCCAGGCCUCAAUAUUCCCUUUCUGUAAAAAGGGACUCUUAUCUAUAAAGACAUCUGAAAAUCCA